GCUCUAGAUUUGAAAUGUGAGGAGCCAGGUUCAGCUCUAGAUUUGAAAUGUGAGGAGCCAGGUUCAGCUCUAGAUUUGAAAUGUGAGGAGCCAGGUUCAGCUCUAGAUUUGAAAUGUGAGGAGCCAGGUUCAGCUCUAGAUUUGAAAUGUGAGGAGCCAGGUUCAGCUCUAGAUUUGAAAUGUGAGGAGCCAGGUUCAGCUCUAGAUUUGAAAUGUGAGGAGCCAGGUUCAGCUCUAGAUUUGAAAUGUGAGGAGCCAGGUUCAGCUCUAGAUUUGAAAUGUGAGGAGCCAGGUUCAGCUCUAGAUUUGAAAUGUGAGGAGCCAGGUUCAGCUCUAGAUUUGAAAUGUGAGGAGCCAGGUUCAGCUCUAGAUUUGAAAUGUGAGGAGCCAGGUUCAGCUCUAGAUUUGAAAUGUGAGGAGCCAGGUUCAGCUCUAGAUUUGAAAUGUGAGGAGCCAGGUUCAGCUCUAGAUUUGAAAUGUGAGGAGCCAGGUUCAGCUCUAGAUUUGAAAUGUGAGGAGCCAGGCUCAGCUCUAGAUUUGAAAUGUGAGGAGCCAGGUUCAGCUCUAGAUUUGAAAUGUGAGGAGCCAGGUUCAGCUCUAGAUUUGAAAUGUGAGGAGCCAGGUUCAGCUCUAGAUUUGAAAUGUGAGGAGCCAGGUUCAGCUCUAGAUUUGAAAUGUGAGGAGCCAGGUUCAGCUCUAGAUUUGAAAUGUGAGGAGCCAGGUUCAGCUCUAGAUUUAAAAUGUGAGGAGCCAGGUUCAGCUCUAGAUUUGAAAUGUGAGGAGCCAGGCUCAGCUCUAGAUUUGAAAUGUGAGGAGCCAGGUUCAGCUCUAGAUUUGAAAUGUGAGGAGCCAGGUUCAGCUCUAGAUUUGAAAUGUGAGGAGCCAGGUUCAGCUCUAGAUUUGAAAUGUGAGGAGCCAGGUUCAGCUCUAGAUUUAAAAUGUGAGGAGCCAGGUUCAGCUCUAGAUUUGAAAUGUGAGGAGCCAGGUUCAGCUCUAGAUUUGAAAUGUGAGGAGCCAGGUUCAGCUCUAGAUUUGAAAUGUGAGGAGCCAGGUUCAGCUCUAGAUUUGAAAUGUGAGGAGCCAGGUUCAGCUCUAGAUUUGAAAUGUGAGGAGCCAGGUUCAGCUCUAGAUUUGAAAUGUGAGGAGCCAGGUUCAGCUCUAGAUUUGAAAUGUGAGGAGCCAGGUUCAGCUCUAGAUUUGAAAUGUGAGGAGCCAGGUUCAGCUCUAGAUUUGAAAUGCGAGGAGCCAGGUUCAGCUCUAGAUUUGAAAUGUGAGGAGCCAAGUUCAGCUCUAGAUUUGAAAUGUGAGGAGCCAAGUUCAGCUCUAGAUUUGAAAUGUGAGGAGCCAGGUUCAGCUCUAGAUUUGAAAUGUGAGGAGCCAGGUUCAGCUCUAGAUUUGAAAUGUGAGGAGCCAGGCUCAGCUCUAGAUUUGAAAUGUGAGGAGCCAGGUUCAGCUCUAGAUUUGAAAUGUGAGGAGCCAGGUUCAGCUCUAGAUUUGAAAUGUGAGGAGCCAGGUUCAGCUCUAGAUUUGAAAUGUGAGGAGCCAGGCUCAGCUCUAGAUUUGAAAUGUGAGGAGCCAGGUUCAGCUCUAGAUUUGAAAUGUGAGGAGCCAGGUUCAGCUCUAGAUUUGAAAUGUGAGGAGCCAGGUUCAGCUCUAGAUUUGAAAUGUGAGGAGCCAGGUUCAGCUCUAGAUUUGAAAUGUGAGGAGCCAGGUUCAGCUCUAGAUUUGAAAUGUGAGGAGCCAGGUUCAGCUCUAGAUUUGAAAUGUGAGGAGCCAGGUUCAGCUCUAGAUUUGAAAUGUGAGGAGCCAGGUUCAGCUCUAGAUUUGAAAUGUGAGGAGCCAGGUUCAGCUCUAGAUUUGAAAUGUGAGGAGCCAGGUUCAGCUCUAGAUUUGAAAUGUGAGGAGCCAGGUUCAGCUCUAGAUUUGAAAUGUGAGGAGCCAGGUUCAGCUCUAGAUUUGAAAUGUGAGGAGCCAGGCUCAGCUCUAGAUUUGUUUAUAUUUGUUUAA
rnacentral:lncRNA from 1 species